GGAGGCGUGGGGCAUUUGACUUCAUUUGUCAUUUUGACUGAGUUUAGCCUCCAAACUCUUUAAGUCUUUUAAAGGAAGAAAUCUCAGAAAACUCAAGAUCAGGAAUGCGCAAGGCCCAGAAGUAUUUGCUCUGAAAAGACUGGGAAAAGACGCCUUUCUCUGGUCAGAAAUAAGUUCCAACUGGACCCGCUUAAUUCGACACCAGUGUAAUUGUGAUGCUCAAGCACAGUGGCUCAGACAGACUUAGGUUCAAAUCUCAAGUCUUCUGUAUGUGGGAACUGCCAUAGAAGGAGUUAAAGAAAGGGGAAGAACCAAGAUACAAAGAUGAAUGAGACACACUGUCUGAUAAACUCUGUCCAUUACAGCAGAGAGCAGUGGAGCAGAUCUGCAAAUAAUCACUGGAUAACAAUGUACCAAGUUCAUUAACAGAGUGUCUGCUGAGGCCAUUAUGCACAGACACAGAAGAAGGAGCAAAAUGUUCUGCAAGCAAGAGAGUGGGGACAGAGACUAAGGAGGAGGCAAGAGAUGAAGACCUUUGGGAUGAUUUUAACAGGUGGUGAAACAUCAGCUCGGUGGCAUAAUGUGACCAUGACUCGCUUGAAGAUUCCACUUCUAACUCCAAGAUAGAUCCCAGGUUAGGGCUGGCAGGGAUCACAGAAGCCAUGCAAUCCAACCCCACUCUCACUUGAGCCUAAGCAGCAGCUAUGUGACUUGCCCAAGGAGUCAUGGCCACAAAGGGGGCUAGAACUCUUAACCUUUGCUUAUAACACUGAGGCUAGAGGACCAAAAGGACCAGAUGGGAGGGAAGCAGACCCAGCUGCAGACCUGCACUUGCUCUGCACCAGGGCGCCUCUCCAGUAGCACGGCUGGAACAGUUUGGCAGAGGAGCUUGGACAUAAACAGACGUGGAGCUGGCUCUGGCAAAGAAAUCAGCACUUGGGUGCCCUGAGGAUGGGGAGGAGGCUAAUCCUUGUUUUUUUGCCUGUCUCCCAAUUAUGCUGGGUGAGUGUAUGUGUAUGCGCUCCUGAUCAACUGACAGCUGGGUUGGAGCCCGGAUUGCAGUGUGCUCAAAGACUGCCUCCUGGGUAUCUGCGGCGCUGUGAUUUUUGUUGAGGUAAGAUUGUCUUUGUUUUCUGGAGGGGCUUUGGUCAAGGUGUUGGCAGCAUCAGUCUGGCGUGUAGCCAGGAAAUGGCUUCAGUAGGCAUUUAGGAAGCAGAGGUGUGUUUGUGUGUGUGCAGGUGGUGGAGGUGGCUGAAGAUAAAAGGGUUCCAGUGUAAAAAAAAUGAGGCAAGGGCUCACCACUCAUUGAGAACGGGAGGCAGGAAACCCCAGGGGGGUGAGGGUGUGCUUUAAUCACAUCCUUUUAUGGGGGACGAAGGAGAAGAGGAGAUGAAAAAGGAACACACCUUCAAGCUUGCGAGGAGCUUUACAAUGGAUAAAGCACGUUCACACAUGUGUAGCCCGUCUGACCUUCACGAGAUGGGCUGUUCCUGCAAUCCAGACUCGGGGAUGGGGAGUAGCUGGGCUCCGAGGCCACACGGCUGUUAUCGGGGAGCUGAGCCACUCCCUCGGGACCCCAGCCCGGUGCUCUGACCACUACAGCCCUCCCAGCGCGUGAGCGUCCCUCAUGUGUGCAGGUGGGUUACACAAGGGAGUUUCCGUGAAGGCAAGGAUGAAGGUGUUUGUGGGGUGUUAUGUUUACCAGCGCCACAGAUGCUGGACUGCGAACACAGGAGAAACACAGGGAAUUGGCUCAGCUGUGAUGUCUUCGACGAAUUAGUCUUAGUUUUCAUCUGGGUAAAGUAACAAGCACCCUGUGGGCUGUUGCAGGCUUCAGAGAUCAAGGACACAAGGUACCUAACCUGGGCUCGCCAGGAGCCUUGUGAGCAUUCGGCAAACAAUAGCUGUUAAUAUCCUGUGAGUUGGACUGUAAGGUUCCUGCUGGGAUGAUCACACACCUGUUUUCGAGGCUACAUGUCCAGCUUCUGCGGCACCUUCUCUACACUCACUCAGGCCUGACGGCUUCUCUGGGCUCAAGGGGUGGGCAGGGCCCUGUUUCCACCCACAUGGACCCCCCCCCCCGCCCCCCGCUGCUACGGCCCUCUCCAUCACUGACCUACUGCGGAACCACCAGGGAGAACUGGCCCUGAGUGUGAAAUCCCCUUGGUGCGAUGGAGACCAAGGACUGGCCAUCUCCUCCUCCACCCCUCUGGUCCCCUGUGUCACCCAUCGUGAGGUUCCAGAGGCCUUACAGUCUAGCACGAGGGACAUGAGAGUGCUUGGGUCACUGCAGACUAAGACUUUCUGCCUCAGUUCUUUGGCCGCAUCUUUCAUGACUCAGCUCCAAUGUCAUGUCAUGUCUGUGGUGUGGCUUUCCCCUAGGCCCAUAGCCAGAAGUCUCACUGCACCAACUUCUCUCUAAUUGAGCUCUCAGAUAAGUUCCUUUCCUCUGGCCACCUCAGUUUCCUCAUCUGUGAAAUGGAGAUACUGUUACCAAACUCAUCUCACAGGACAUUGGGAAGAUCCAUGAUAAGCCCAUGGAUGGAAGAGCCCAGUUCCUCUGCCCUUACCCCCCUUGCCAUGCAGCGGAGAUGGGGAGACACCCUGAGUGAGCUGACUGCCCGUCUGUCCACAAAGCUGAUAAAACCAAGCUCUUUCCGGGAGGCCAUUCCCUCCUCCCCUACCCAUGGAAUUCCUAUUCAGCCUUCGAGGACCAGCUCAAAUGUCAUCUCUCCUUCGAAGCCUUCCUGCGGUCCCCAGAGAAAGCAUAUUUUCCUCUCCCUUGCGCUCCUCUAAUUCUUCGUUCCCAUUAAAUCUCUUGUUUCCUUUUAA